UUCAAGACGAAGUAGACGUCGCAACGAUAGCGACAGUAUUGCUAGAUGAAAAGACUUUCCAUUUCUUUGAGUCUUAUAACUUUAAUGCUGUGAAUAAUCGGCUAAAAUCGUCUUAUUAAACGACAAUAUCCGCAUCGCAAAUUACACACAGUAGUCAUCAUCAAUCGUGCUAAGUGUCUUAUUAAAUUAUUGUCGUUCAUUGUUUCCCGUGCGAGCUCAGAAACCUGUUACUCACUCGUAUCAAGAAGAAAAGGUCGCGCUACCACUUUUGGCAAUUUGUUGUUGUCUCAUGGUAAGACAAGAAUUUCAGGAGACCGAAUUUUAGAAAACAUGUCAUCUGUGAGUAAAAAUGGUCGCUCCAACGACGACCUUGAAGAUGCGCAUCGUCAACUUUCACCAAGUGGUAACUGUAGACAAGUAAUAGGAUAGUCAAUGUCAUCCGUGCUGCAACUCGCGGUUAAGAUCCAGCGAGUGGUUUUAUUCUCGGAAUUUCCACGAUUCUCGGUUGAAAAGUGAAGAAGGUUCCGGUUGUGUCAGACUGGCGAAAUCUAAGUCUCUUUAUACGGAGCAAAUUGACAUAGACGUGUCGCAGUAGCGAUAAUAAUGAGUAACGAUAAUAUUUGCAGUAUCAAUAAUACUUGUGAUGUUAAUGGCCAAGCAAACGAAGAUAAAAAAUGCUGUAAUCCAUUGAUUAAUUUUGUAUAAAGUACAAU